GUAAAGGCUUUCUUAAAAGCCAUGUACACUAAUAUGCAUUUUAAA
rfam:Rattus norvegicus chromosome 14, whole genome shotgun sequence.